UACUCCACGCAAAGUCAAAGUCAGCCAAGUGCGGAUGACACCUGAUCUGGCAGUGUGACAUUUCCUUCCUUGAAAAGGAUAGCACAGCCCUAGAGUGCAGGCUGCGAAGGUUUAGGAGUCAAGAGGGAACAGGAAAUUAACUUGCAGAAGAUAAAGGAAUGGCAUUCUCAUGUUCUCCAGCAGGGGGAAAUGGGAUCCUGAGAAACUCAACUUCCUUUAAUUUGCCAGAAGACAGCUUUGCCUGAGAAACAAGCUUUCAAGCCAGAAGGCAGACCAGCUCUAAUAUUCACCC